rnacentral:rRNA from 1 species
AACGCGAAGAACCUUACCCAGGCGAAAUGCAGGGGAGACGGCGAAAGGUUUCGCAAGGACCUGUAUAGGUGCUGCAUGGCUGGAGCGUGGUGAGAUGUUGGGUUAAGCCGCAACGAGCGCAACCCUUGAUUAGUUGCUACGAAAGGGCACUAAUGAGACUGCCGGUGACAAACCGGAGGAAGGUGGGGAUGACGAAGCAUGGCCCUUAUGGGUAGGGCUACACGAUACAAUGGGGGACAGAGGGGCCAACCCGCGAGGGGGAGCCAACCAGAAACCCGAGUAGCGGAGCAGUGCAACGACUGCGUGAAGGGAAGCUAGUAAGCGGAAGCAUGGCGGUGAAUACGUCCGGGUUGUACACACCG